UCUAUCAUAUAGUAUCAUGCAUAUGAUCUGUCAUGUUACCAUAUGGAUUCGUUUCCUGUUAUAGUUUCUCCUGGCGAUUGUUUUUGCUGAUCAUAUAUUUGGCUGCCGGAAUGAGUUCAGCGGCUAAUCCGAAUAUUGUGAGGGGUUUUGUUUGGAUGUGGGACAAAGGAGAACAACAAAGAGUCACAUGAGCAGAACUUUAUUACGUACGGAUUUGGGACAAUGACGAAUAGAAACCCUUCUACCUUCUUAGAUAUUUUCUCCUUCCAAGUUUUGGAAUCUCCAUUACUUGCCAAAAAAUGUUUUACAAAAUUGGCGUGACAUUAAAUUGUAACUUGUUUAAAUUAUUUUUCACAUUGUUAAAUUAUUUUGCAUUAUUCUA